rnacentral:rRNA from 1 species
GUCGAGCGGUAGAGAGAAGCUUGCUUCUCUUGAGAGCGGCGGACGGGUGAGUAAAGCCUAGGAAUCUGCCUGGUAGUGGGGGAUAACGUUCGGAAACGGACGCUAAUACCGCAUACGUCCUACGGGAGAAAGCAGGGGACCUUCGGGCCUUGCGCUAUCAGAUGAGCCUAGGUCGGAUUAGCUAGUUGGUGAGGUAAUGGCUCACCAAGGCGACGAUCCGUAACUGGUCUGAGAGGAUGAUCAGUCACACUGGAACUGAGACACGGUCCAGACUCCUACGGGAGGCAGCAGUGGGGAAUAUUGGACAAUGGGCGAAAGCCUGAUCCAGCCAUGCCGCGUGUGUGAAGAAGGUCUUCGGAUUGUAAAGCACUUUAAGUUGGGAGGAAGGGCAUUAACCUAAUACGUUAGUGUUUUGACGUUACCGACAGAGUAAGCACCGGCCAACUCUGUGCCAGCAGCCGCGGUAAU